rfam:Nitrospira bacterium SG8_35_4 WOR_8-12_20875, whole genome shotgun sequence.
UAGACUACCACGUUGAUAGGCUGGGUGUGUAAGUGCGGUGACGUAUUUAGCUAACCAGUACUAAUUGACCGUGAGCCUUGACCCC